rnacentral:rRNA from 1 species
AGUGGCAGACGGGUGAGUAACGCGUGAACAUGUGCCUUUUUUCUGGGGAUACCGUUUGGAAACGAACGUUAAUACCGAAUGUGGCGGCAUCGUUAAACUGUUAGGGAGAAAAGAGCAGUUCGCGUUCUAUCAGCUAGAUGGUGGGGUAACGGCCUACCAUGGCUACGACGGAUAGCUGGUCUGAGAGGAUGAUCAGCCACACUGGAACUGAGACACGGUCCAGACUCCCACGGGAGGCAGCAGUGAGGAAUCUUGCACAAUGGGCGAAAGCCUGAUGCAGCGACGCCGCGUGAGGGACGACGGCCUUCGGGUUGUAAACCUCUGUCAGUAGGGAAGAAGAUUGACGGUACCUACUGAGGAAGCUUCGGCUAACUACGUGCCAGCAGCCGCGGUAAGACGUAGGGAGCAAGCGUUGCCCGGAAUUACUGGGCGUAAAGAGCUCGUAGGCGGGGGCGUGCGUCUGAGAGGAAAUCUCAAGGCUUAACCUUGGGGCUGUCUCAGAUACGGCGCUUCUUGAGGAUGUGAGAGGAAAGUGGAAUUUCCGGUGUAGCGGUGAAUGCGUAGAUAUCGGAAGGAACACCAGUGGCGAACGCGACUUCUGGGCACAUUCCUGACGCUGAGAGCGAAAGCGUGGGUAGCGGACGGAUAGAUACCCAGUAGUCCACGCCGA